GGGUGCCUUCGGGAACUGUAAGACAGGUGCUGCAUGGCUGUCGUCAGCUCGUGUCGUGAGAUGUUCGGUUAAGUCCGGCAACGAGCGCAACCCUUGUCCUUAUUUGCCAGCACGUAAUGGUGGGAACUCUAAGGAGACUGCCGGUGAUAAACCGGAGGAAGGUAGGGACGACGUCAAGUCAUCAUGGCCCUUAUGACCAGGGCUACACACGUGCUACAAUGGUCGGUACAAUGGGUUGCCAAACCGCGAGGUGGAGCUAAUCCCACAAAACCGAUCCCAGUCCGGAUUGUAGUCUGCAACUCGACUACAUGAAGUCGGAAUCGCUAGUAAUCGUGGAUCAGAAUGCCACGGUGAAUACGUUCCCGGGUCUUGUACACACCGCCCGUCACACCAUGGAAGUUGAUUGCUCCAGAAGUAGGUAGCUUAAAAAUGGGCGCUUACCACGGAGUGGUCGAUGACUGGGGUGAAGUCGUAACAAGGUAGCCGUAGGGGAACCUGCGGCUGGAUCACCUCCUUUAAA
rnacentral:rRNA from 1 species